UUCCUGGUGGUUCAGUGGUUAGCACUUGGCACUUUCACUGCCAGGGCCUGGGUUCAAUCCCUGAUUGGGGAA
rnacentral:tRNA from 1 species